GGGUUUGCAUCGGGCCGACCGGUCCCCUAUAUAGGGAGUGCCCGCAAGGGCUAUGGCGAUAAACUGUCAUUGUAAUAAACCCAUCGGACCCGGGGGCAGUACCCGGCGUCUCCACCAUCUCCUCCCGCCAAGGGGGAGCCACUGGGGGACGAAACAGGAUCGACGAGGGCGUAAAGAGUGUGCUUUCGCUCGGCAUUGUACCGCCGUUAUCGGGCUAAAACUUAUAGUUGCCAAUGACAACCAUAAGGCUCCGGUCGCUCUCGCCGCCUAAGCGGUGCUAGCACUGGGAAUUAAAGUCCUCCGCUCCUAGCCGGGCGUCAGGCGGGGUUCGCAGGCACCUGGCAACAGAAGCCUGCACU
rnacentral:tmRNA from 1 species